rnacentral:rRNA from 1 species
GACGAACGCUGGCGGCGUGCUUAACACAUGCAAGUCGAACGAUGAAGCAGAGAAACGCGCACUUCGGUUCAAAUUUCACUUCGGAUUAGUGGCAGACGGGUGAGUAACGCGUUAGCAACCUACCUCUUACAAAGGGAUAGCCUCGGGAAACCGUGAUUAAUACCAUAUGACACAUUCAUAAGGCAUCUUAAGAAUGUUAAAGCUACGGCGGUAAGAGAUGGGCUCGCGUCCCAUUAGCUAGUUGGUGAGGUAACGGCCCACCAAGGCGACGAUGGGUAACCGGCCUGAGAGGGUGAACGGUCACAUUGGAACUGAGACACGGUCCAAACUCCUACGGGAGGCAGCAGUGGGGAAUAUUGCACAAUGGAGGGAACUCUGAUGCAGCGACGCCGCGUGAGCGAUGAAGGAAUUCGUUUCGUAAAGCUCUGUUCUAUGGGAAGAAAAGGACUGUACCAUAGGAGAAAGCCCCGGCUAAAUACGU